GGUAGCAUAAUAAUUUGCCUUUUAAUUGAAGGAUCGUAUGAAUGAAAACACAAAAAAAAUCCUGUCUCUUUAUUAUAAAUAUAAAUUAAUCUAUAAGUGAAAAAGCUUAUAUUAAAUAAAUAGACAAGAAGACCCUGUUGAGCUUUUUCUAAUAAUUAAUAGUUAGAUUUUGUUGGGGCAACAUAAAUUUUAUAAAUCAAUUUUAAAUAUACAAAGAAUAAUAUCAUUAUUUAUAUCUUAUUUUAUAAAAUAUUAAUAAGUUACCACAGGGAUAACAGGCUAAUUUUUUUAUAGAGUUCAAAUUAACAAAAAAGUUUGGCACCUCGAUGUUGGCUUAAAGUUUCAUUCAAAAGUAGUAAUUUGAAUUGUUGGUUU
rnacentral:rRNA from 1 species